ACGAACCUAUUCUGUUCUUAUGCUCAUUUAAAUUCUUUCCACUUUCACUCCAACGUUCUCGUGACGGUUGUUUCCUAAAUUCCUGUAGUUUUCCACAUGCUUUCAGGUUUAGCUUUGGAAAUCAGGAUGAGUCACCAGCAAACCGAAACAUGCAACGAGGUGGAUUAAACCUUGGUACAUGUCAAAUUAUGACAUCCCUGAUGAGGGAUGUUUGUGUGACAUUGUUCAUGUGAAGGAGAGGGAGGAGGGGACUCUCUUUCCUUGUUUGUGGGGGGGAAAAAUACAGGCAUUUGUUCACAGGACUCCGUUUUCGUCUUCUGUUCUCCGCCCAUUUUUUUCCCCAGGUGAUCAGACUGAAAGGGAAGUUGAAAGAAUCUUUAGCAAGACAACAGACGACUGGACGAGCCAACAGCAGCAGCAAAACCGCCAGCUCACACGUUUGAAGAUCCCAGAGAUUUCUUAAUUGCUUCUCUUUACAGAGUGUAGUGUGUUUUGUCCUCCCCUUGAACUUCUUCUAACAUCAUGGAGGACGACCACUGCAGACACAGCCAGUGCCACAGCCACGGGGCCUGCGUGGCUCCUUCAGACGGCAAUGGUGAUCUAGUUUGUACAUGUGAUCUGGGCUACAGCGGGGAAUUCUGCGAAACAACAGUCAACGGGCAUUUGAGUGCACCACUGACCGUAAGCGUAAUUGUUAUCAUCGUCGGGCUGCUGAUCCUCGCUUUUGUCUUUGCUAAGAUAAGGCAAAGGCAAAAGAGGAACAAGAGAAAACUGGCAGCACAACAAGGUUGCAAAGUAUCAACUUAAUGUGGAUAAAUAUGGAAUUUGUCUAAGGGAAACAACGUCUUGGAUAAUUUCCCCCCCUCCUCAUCUUGUCCCUGGUUGCUUGCAGAUAUGCAUUUUUACUCUCUGCAACUGACUUUGUGCUGCAGCCUCUGAAAGCCACGAACACUGAAUCUCCUGAAGCACCUUGUCAGAUGAGCCUGUUUGCUUUGUUCAGCUGACACAAAUAAUGUUUUCUGCAGGACAAAUAUGAGGUUGUGUUGGAUUUUGUUUCUACAGUCAUGGCACUGUUGAUGUCUUUAUAGUCGAGCUAAACUCACUUUUUAACAUUUCUUCAAUGCAAAGUCAUGCAAAGCACAAUGAUGCAAAUGUUCAACCACUUUCUAUGAUGAAGCAGGAGCUUUGGCCGGAGGCAUUCAUCUCAUGACAACCAGUUUGUUGUAUUUAACUGGUGUUAGCAAUGAUUUUUCAAGGUCAUAAGGUUUUUGAUAUCUUUACAAAUGAUAUAUAUUUUACCCAUAAUUGCAUAGUUUUUUGUUUGAAAUAAUUUAUGUGCUGUGUAGUUCACAUUUUAGUUCUUUUGAUCUAUUUUUUUCUUCUUUUGGUCUAUUUCUUAAGCUACAUGAAGAAAGUUUUAUUAUAUUUUAUGUCCUGACACAAAAUACGCCACACCUUACUGACUUUUUCAUACUUAGAAAAAUAUGUGGGUCCAUCUGAUCAUUGUCUAAUGCAUUGUCAUAAUUUUUUUUAAUCCAUUUUAUUUCCUUGAUUAUGCACACAACUGAUCAUUUUGUGUCCCAUAAUAAUCACAACCACUACCAAUGCAAAACUAGACUGCAUAGUUUUCUGUCUUUCUGUUCAACUUUUUCUUUGUUAAGCAGAUCGUUUGUUUGUGUUUUUGUUCUGUGGAGCAUUUGUUUGGUGUAAGUAUCCAAGCGAUAUUUUUUUUUUUUUAAGUGAUAGUCAUUAUCAGAUAUUUGAGCAAUAUGUUUUUACAAUUUUCCUUGUAUCAGUUUGGAACCAUCUCCAUUCUUAUUAGCCACUGAAUUGAUUGUCUGGUUAGGACAUUUAUUUCUCCAAACUAUGGUCCUUCAGGUGGUUGUUUGCUAUCGGUAAGAUGCUGACUGCGUUCAAUGUCCCCACAGAACCCUUACGUCAAAGAUCUAAGUAAACCCAUUUUAAAGUAGCGUAGUCAUUUUAUACACUCUGCAGCACCAGUAAAACAAAAGGUUUGUGUGUAUAUAGAAGACAUUGGCUAUGUAAAUUAUGUUUGAAAAAUAGCUUAUUUUGUACAAAACUGAACUAUGAAUGUUUAGCAGGUUAUUUCAGGAUGUCUGCUUUAAUAAUCUGAUUUUGACAAGCUGCAAGACUUGUUUACAGCUGGUUAUUUUUAUUGAGCACAAGACUAAUAAUCCAUUCCCAACAAAACCAAAAUCAAGUCUUUGUUUUAGUGACUUGUUUUUCUUUUUUUUCUUUUUUUGUUAGUAAUUUUUUCCUAAAUUCCUCUGACUGGAGUUUUCACAUUUUUAUGUGCUGCUGCUGAACAUCUAUAUUGUCACAAUAUGGUAAUUACUCCUUAAUUUCUCAGUAGAUAUUCUGGUGAGUUUAAUUUUAUACAUCUAUAAAGGAAAAAUGCAAUAAACUUAAGUGCUUUUAAUAUGCACUGUUAAACAGUUGUACACAAUAUAACACUUGUCCUUUAUUUUAUUCUAAUAAAAUGCAUAAACCCUU